rnacentral:rRNA from 1 species
CAAGUCGAACGAGAAAGGGGAGCAAUCCCUGAGUACAGUGGCGUACGGGUGAGUAACACGUGGAUGAUCUACCUCUUAGUGGGGAAUAACUAUGGGAAACCGUAGCUAAUACCGCAUAAGCCUGAGAAGGGAAAGCAGCAAUGCGCUGAGAGAGGAGUCCGCGGCCGAUUAGCUAGUUGGUGGGGUAAAAGCCCACCAAGGCUGAGAUCGGUAGCCGGCCUGAGAGGGCACACGGCCACACUGGCACUGAAACACGGGCCAGACUCCUACGGGAGGCAGCAGUGGGGAAUCUUGCACAAUGGGGGAAACCCUGAUGCAGCGACGCCGCGUGAGCGAUGAAGCCCUUCGGGGUGUAAAGCUCUUUCGGCAGGGAAGAUUAUGACGGUACCUGCAGAAGCAGCUGCGGCUAACUACGUGCCAGCAGCCGCGGUAAUACGUAGGCAGCAAGCGUUGUUCGGAGUUACUGGGCGUAAAGGGUGUGUAGGCGGUUGUUUAAGUUUGGUGUGAAAUCUCCCGGCUCAACCGGGAGGGUGCGCCGAAUACUGAAUAACUAGAGUGCGGGAGAGGAAAGUGGAAUUCCUGGUGUAGCGGUGAAAUGCGUAGAUAUCAGGAGGAACACCGGUGGCGUAGACGGCUUUCUGGACCGUAACUGACGCUGAGACACGAAAGCGUGGGUAGCAAACAGGAUUAGAUACCCUGGUAGUCCACGCCCUAAACGAUGCAUAUUUGGUGUGGGCAGUUCAUUCUGUCCGUGCCGGAGCUAACGCAUUAAAUAUGCCGCCUGGGGAGUACAGUCGCAAGGCUGAAACUCAAAGGAAUUCACGGGGGCCCGC